rnacentral:rRNA from 1 species
UAGUAACUGCGAGUGAAGAGGGAAAAGCUCAAAUUUAAAAUCUGGCGGGCUCUGCUCGUCCGAGUUGUAAUCUGGAGAAGCGUUUUCCGCGUCGGACCGUGCACAAGUCUCCUGGAACGGAGCGUCAUAGAGGGUGAGAAUCCCGUCCAUGGCACGGASCGCCGAUGCUUUGUGAUACGUUUUCAAAGAGUCGAGUUGUUUGGGAAUGCAGCUCAAAACGGGUGGUAAAUUCCAUCUAAAGCUAAAUAUUGGCGAGAGACCGAUAGCGAACAAGUACCGUGAGGGAAAGAUGAAAAGCACUUUGGAAAGAGAGUUAAACAGUACGUGAAAUUGUUGAAAGGGAAACGCUUGAAGUCAGUCGCGUCCGACGGAACUCAGCCUUGCUUCGGCCUGGUGUACUUUCUGUCGGACGGGUCAACAUCAGUUUUGACCGGUGGAGAAAGGUAGGGGGAAUGUAGCGCCGUUUCGGCGGCGUGUUAUAGCCCCUUGCUGUAUGCAUCGGUCGGGACUGAGGACCGCAGCACGCCUUUUUGGCCGGGGGUUCGCCCUACGUACCGUGCUUAGGAUGUUGGCAUAAUGGCUUUAAGCGACCCGUCUUGAAACACGGACCAAGGAGUCCAACAUGCUUGCGAGUGUUCGGGUGGAAAACCCYUGCGCGUAAUGAAAGUAACAGUUGGGAACCUCCGCAAGGGGGUGCACCGACGCCCGGCCCUGAAGUUCUCUGACGGUGCUGCGGUAGAGCAAGUAUGCUGGGACCCGAAAGAUGGUGAACUAUGCCUGAAUAGGGCGAAGCCAGAGGAAACUCUGGUGGAGGCUCGUAGCGAUUCUGACGUGCAAAUCGAUCGUC